UCUCCGCUUUGCUACUCAUUAACUGCCGGCUUCCCUCAAUCUAUUUGCGUUGUGUGUGUGUGUGUGUGUGUCGAUUUCCUCAUCUGUAAACCAUGAACGGCGCUCCCUGUGUGCAAGUCUGUCAUGAGAAGCAGAUGAAACAAAGUCAAGGAGCAGUGACGUGCUGGACCCACAGUAAGAGCUCCUUUAAGUGCCCUUGCUUUUCUUCAGCUAAGAUACAUCUUUGGGAGCAACAUGUUUCAGUUACAAGCUUUUUCAGUUUCCCUGUUAAGGUCAAGACGGGGCUAGACCACGGUGAACCUCAGAGGCCUGCCCUUUCCACCGUGCGCUGUGUUCUGUCCAAGCAUUCCUUCUACUUCCUGGAGGAUGUGGGAGAGGACAUUCUCCAUCAAGGGGUCUCUGUUGGCUAAAAAUACCUGAGAACUGAGGACAGGUCAGUGGAUAAGAACAGAAAACCUCGUCUGGGCUUGUUGUUGGAUCUUCGACUUCUUACCCCGAGGGCGCCCAGCUCGCCAUGAGGCUGGGUCCGUGCAGGAGCCGGGCCUGUGUGCAGGUUUAACGACUAAUAUUUCCCAGUCAAGGAGGUUUUGAAAGAAACGAUUGAUUUAUUCUAAUCAGAUCCCGCUGUGGUGAGUUCAGACACGCAGUAUCACAGGUCCUACAAGAGGCAGAGCGCGAGGUACUGCUUUGCCGCGUGUUGGCUGGUGGCGUCCGGUGGCUUCUCAGACCUGAGCUGCCGUCUCUUCACGUAUGAAAUGAGAGCCCUGUGCCUUCAGAGAGCUCUUGCACCCCAGGCUGCUGAGACCCUUGGAAAUGAAGACAAGCGUGGGAAACUCUGAAGAGUGAGCUCUCUUGGCCCGUCCUCCUCCCCCGGUUUUGCAGAAGAUGCUCCUGGCUUUGGAGUCAGUACCAAGACUGAGCGUGAUCUGCCUCUUUGACACCCCAUUGCACCUUCCUUCCUGGGGAGCUCUGGGCAAGCAGACCCCGAGAGUCUCCCCCGCUCCCUUGGGAAAUCGCUAACUAUUCUCUUUCCUUUUCCUCCAAGAGAUCUCCCACUCUCUUGUGGACCAAACCUAAAGGUUUUCUCCUGCUAAGAGUCCUGAACAUUUGUCUCCAUGCCCGCUCCCGGAAAUAGCCUGCCCGCGUCCCCUCAAAGCCAGGAGGCACGGUGACUCUGUGCGUCCACGUGUCUUUGGUUUUUGACACAGACGCGAAACCUUGAGGCAGUGGAGUCAGGCUGCGAUGGAGAGGAGCAAACUCUCUGUAAAGGCGAGGACGGAGCACAAAUGAAUACUGCAGAUCUGCCACCAGCAUGCAUGUGUGUGCGUCGGCCAGGGGCUGAUGACUACGAUUCAUCGCUCUUCAAACAUGUGUUUAGACCUCCCAUGACACACGUCAUCUGUGCACAUUGCUUUAUGGUUAAUAGAGCCCUGUUCAGGUUCAAACACUGAA